AUUGAACGCUGGCGGCAGGCCUAACACAUGCAAGUCGAGCGGAGCGGCGGACGGGUGAGUAAUGCCUAGGAAUCUGCCUGGUAGUGGGGGAUAACGUCCGGAAACGGGCGCUAACACCGCAAACUAUCAGAAUAGCCUAGGUCGGAUUAGCUAGUUGGGGGGGUAAAGGCCUACGAAGGCGACGAGCCGGAACUGUGAUGGGAGGAUGAUCAGUCAAACGGGAACUGGGACACGGUCCAGACUCCUACGGGAGGCAGCAGUGGGGAAGAUUGGACAAUGGGCGAAAGCCUGAUCCAGCCAUGCCGCGUGUGUGAAGAAGGUCUUCGGAUUGUAAAGCACUUUAAGUUGGGAGGCGUUACCAACAUAAUAAGCACCGGCUAACUUCGUGCCAGCAGCCGCGGUAAUAC
rnacentral:rRNA from 1 species